AUAAACUGGGUGAGUGUCAGAGAUGCUGACACUCUGGUACCUGACUUUGAGGCAUACUAAAGUCAAGGACUAUUCAUGUCUGUCUCAUGGUGUUUGAGAAUGUUCCCGUGAUGUCCUUUGGAAUAUUUUACUGUGUUAAAGGUGUUUUAUAAAUACAGGUUAGUAGUUCUGCUGCAGUUUAAUCACCUCCUCCAGAAACUUUAUUGAAUAGCUGCUGUUAUGAUUGGUAAGUGUGUGUGACAAAGUGCCACUAAGUGUGAGCUGAUUGAUUUGCUGCCUUUUUUGGGUGACAGAGGCUGAGAGAAGAAUGUUGAUAGGAUCAUAAAAGAGCAUUAUGGUUUUCAUCAAACUGUUUGUGAUCUUUAUCAUUGUCGCUGUGAUUUGAGUGAAACAUACAGUCCGAUUGGGAUCAGCUGGACCAAAUGAUGACUGGAUAUUGGACUCUACACACCAGAUCUCACUGGCUCCUGGGCUUAGCCUGCUGAUCUAAGCUGCUGCAACACACUAAUUGUUCCUGAACCUAAAGAAAAAAAGUCAACAUCUAAAGUUCGAACUCUUCUGGAUCCUUUUGACCAAGACUUUGAGAAAUCAAGGGUUGGCAUUUCCAGGCAUAGUAUUGCUUUGCUGAAGAAAGCAUUAAGCACUGUGAAAAUACAACGAACUGCACGUGAACUCCCGCAAACAAAAACUCGACCAAGUCCAAAUGUUACACUCGAGGAUG